ACCAGACUCCUACGGGAGGCAGCAGUGGGGGAUAUUGCACAAUGGGGGAAACCCUGAUGCAGCGACGCCGCGUGAGUGAAGAAGUAUUUCGGUAUGUAAAGCUCUAUCAGCAGGGAAGAAAAAAGACGGUACCUGGCUAAGAAGCCCCGGCUAACUACGUGCCAGCAGCCGCGGUAAUACGUAGGGGGCAAGCGUUAUCCGGAUUUACUGGGUGUAAAGGGAGCGUAGACGGCAAUACAAGUCGGAAGUGAAAUACCCGGGCUCAACCUGGGAACUGCUUUGGAAACUGUAUGGCUGGAGUGCUGGAGAGGUAAGCGGAAUUCCUAGUGUAGCGGUGAAAUGCGUAGAUAUUAGGAGGAACACCAGUGGCGAAGGCGGCUUACUGGACUGUAACUGACGUUGAGGCUCGAAAGCGUGGGGAGCAAACAGGAUUAGAUACCCUAGUACAG
rnacentral:rRNA from 1 species